rnacentral:lncRNA from 1 species
UGGGUAUGCCUAACUCAAAUUCUACUAAAAUUGAUAGAAUUUGUACAUAAAUUCCAAAAAAUUUAACCACUAAAAUUUUAUUGACAAAAUUACCCUCAACUAUAAACUCAGCUAUUUUUACUUUUUUUUUUCUUUAUUUUAAAUUAUAGCAUACCAAAUAUGACAAAUUCAUUUGCAAAUGAAUUCUACUUAUAAAUGAAUUCUACUUGGAUUCAUUUGUUCUAAACGGACCGUUAAUGUAUAAGUGGAGUUUACAAAACAUGUGUAGAUAAGUUCUCACAUAUUAUUACAAAUGUGUCCCGCCCAUAAGUGAACCACUGUAAAUUUAAAAUGUGUCCCCAAUAAUUUGAAAUGGGUCCCACUUAAGCAAGUGGGUGCAUGUCUAUAAAAACCCACUUAAGCAACACUUGAAGCACCACACUACUCUUUACAUUCUUUCGUCUUCAUAUUUCAAAAGCUCUCUAAUAUUAAGCGAUGGCUGUGUCUCCAAUCCAGUCGGUGCUUGGGAUGUUGGGUGUUAUGUCCACGGCACAGCGUCAAACUGGGUUGAAUAUCAGCUCAUUUUACCCACCUGUUGCACAACUUCUUGGCACCGUAUUGUUGGGUUAAGUCCUUUACCGCUUCUGGAUGAAGACUGAAGCUUGUGUUUGUGUUAUCCUUUUAAGUAAUGUUAAUAAGCAUGGCUUUGACUGAUCCACCAUCUCCACUGGAGUGUGUGUGUGAAUCUCAAUGCUAUGAGCAAAUAAAUUCUGUCUUUAUGUACUUCUAUUUUAUGUGUUUUUAAUAAAUCAGUCUUUCCAGUGCGGUCAAACAGUUAUCAAAUAUCUUUGCUUAAAAAUAUUUGAACAAAUAAUUUGUUUCCUCAACAAAAUAUUUGAAAUAUAUAUUAAUAUAUGUUUUAAUUCAAGACUUAAAAAUAUGUUGCCUAAAUACUUUAUAUUUGAAACAAUCGAAUUAAUCUUUAACAAGACACGAAACAUAAA